GCACACACAUACUUCUGCGCUUUCCCUGAAAGUGGAGCAUUAGCAACUGCAGUCAAAAAGCACCCUUGCUUCUUCAGCUCUGAUCCGAGCAGCAUCUGUCUAAUUCUGUCUGGAGGAACUAGGAGACAGCACUGGAGGCAAGUUUAAAAAGGACCUAGUGACACCCUGCUGUCACAUCUGGUGUCAUGAAUCUACUUAUUAGUAGUCCAUUUACAAUUACUUCCCCAGUCCCGUCAGUAGUGUACAUGCUUGAAAACUGCCUGGCUCGGGAGGAAGGAGCACACUGCUGAAGGUUCCAAUCAUUGAGAAAACAAGUGUUUAAAAAUUAACGGAAGAUUGGACACUGUAGUCCUCCAGACAACAUUAAUCUAUCGAUGGCUCUGAAGUGAAGACGUGAUUGAUGCAGUUACAGACAUUGGUGACGUAGGAAGUCAGCUGCAUUUUCACUGAAUUUUUUCAGACAUCCUGCUGGUUUUAUUAAG